GGGUAGAGCUGGCUGUUGCUUUGGUGGGCAGAGCUCAGUAAAACUUUAAUCCACUUGAUUGCUGAUGGGUGGGGCUGAGUUUCCUCCCUGUUAAUUGUUUGGCCUCAGGCAACCCAACACUGGAGCCUACGGGGGCUCUUUGGUGGGGCUAAUGGCAGACUCUGGGAGGGCUCACACCAAGGAGUACUUCCCAGAACUUCUACUGCCAGUGUACUUGUCCUCACGGUGACACACAGCCACCCUCCGCCUCUGAAGGAGACCCUCCAACACUAGCAGAGAUUGGGAGGUGACGUUGGCAGGAGACAUGGAUGUGUGCUGCUAUCAGGAUGUACAAAGGGCAAAGAGGAUGAUGGUACAGAGCCAGUUCACGGUGAAGUGAGAUGCUCCCCACAGAAUCACAGCAGCUCUCCUCUCACUGGCCAAUGAGCCCACCCACAGUUCCAGUGGAAUGUGGUGCAUGAAACUCCUCUCCUGCAGAGAGUCAAGUUCACUGUCUUUCAGGUCUGUGGAUGGUUUCUGUGGCUGCUUAACUGUGGUACCAUUUUGUCUUAGAGGUGAAGUGGAGAGCGGUUAUAAGGAGAGACCAAUACUCAGAAGAAGGAACGGAAUCAUAUCUGUCCUGAGCUCAAGAGGAGACUCCCAGAAACCACUGUGCUUUUGCUUGCUGCUGGUCAGGCAAAAUGAACCUGGUUCUGUAACAAAUGUAACUGGGAGCUGGAUUUUCUAAAAAAAAAAAAAAAAAAGCAGUUUGACUGGAGGACCAAAAGGACUAAAGGAAAGAGCAGGCAUAAGGAAUUGAGGCCACAACCGGGUGGAAUACAGACUCCUGCUGGAUGUCCUUGAAGCUGUGGAGCUCUCUGCAGCCCUCAGAAUAGGAAUUCAUCUUUUAUGACCCAACUAUGUUCUGAUUCCUAAAGGAAGUAUUUGAUUACUGCAGUCCAAAGAUACUGCUUCUAUCAGCUCCUAGCUCUCAACUCAAAGAAGACUCAGGAGAAGGGAAGACCCCGGGGCUGCGAGACCCGGGACAGGUCCAAGACUCCGCCGGAGGUAGGGGGGUGGGGCCUCGGGCGUGGCGGUGCUUCGGGGGCGGUGCGGAGCUUCGGGGGCGGGGCCAGA